rnacentral:rRNA from 1 species
UACAGGGGGCGGCGAGCGUUGCUCGGAAUCACUGGGCGUAAAGCGUACGCAGGCGGGUCGAUAAGUCCGUUGUGAAAUCCCAGGGCUCAACCCUGGAACCGCGAUGGAGACUGCCGAUCUUGAGUACGGGAGAGGGGAGCGGGAAUUCCUGGUGUAGAGGUGGAAAUUCGUAGAUAUUCGCAAGAACACCAGUGGCGAAGGCGGCUCACUGGCCCGAUACUGACGCUGAGGCACGAAAGCGUGGGGAGCAAACAGG